rnacentral:rRNA from 1 species
CGGGACACGUGGUAUCCUGUCUGAAUAUGGGGGGACCAUCCUCCAAGGCUAAAUACUCCUGACUGACCGAUAGUGAACCAGUACCGUGAGGGAAAGGCGAAAAGAACCCCGGCGAGGGGAGUGAAAAAGAACCUGAAACCGUGUACGUACAAGCAGUGGGAGCACGCUUAGGCGUGUGACUGCGUACCUUUUGUAUAAUGGGUCAGCGACUUAUAUUCUGUAGCAAGGUUAACCGAAUAGGGGAGCCGAAGGGAAACCGAGUCUUAACUGGGCGUUAAGUUGCAGGGUAUAGACCCGAAACCCGGUGAUCUAGCCAUGGGCAGGUUGAAGGUUGGGUAACACUAACUGGAGGACCGAACCGACUAAUGUUGAAAAAUUAGCGGAUGACUUGUGGCUGGGGGUGAAAGGCCAAUCAAACCGGGAGAUAGCUGGUUCUCCCCGAAAGCUAUUUAGGUAGCGCCUCGUGAAUUCAUCUCCGGGGGUAGAGCACUGUUUCGGCAAGGGGGUCAUCCCGACUUACCAACCCGAUGCAAACUGCGAAUACCGGAGAAUGUUAUCACGGGAGACACACGGCGGGUGCUAACGUCCGUCGUGAAGAGGGAAACAACCCAGACCGCCAGCUAAGGUCCCAAAGUCAUGGUUAAGUGGGAAACGAUGUGGGAAGGCCCAGACAGCCAGGAUGUUGGCUUAGAAGCAGCCAUCAUUUAAAGAAAGCGUAAUAGCUCACUGGUCGAGUCGGCCUGCGCGGAAGAUGUAACGGGGCUAAACCAUGCACCGAAGCUGCGGCAGCGACGCUGAUGCGUUGUUGGGUAGGGGAGCGUUCUGUAAGCCUGUGAAGGUGUGCUGUGAGGCAUGCUGGAGGUAUCAGAAGU